GCGCACGCUGGCGGCAGGCCUAACACAUGCAGGUCGAACGAACCUUUCGGGGUUAGUGGCGGACGGGUGAGUAACACGUGGGAACGUGCCUUUAGGUUCGGAAUAACUCAGGGAAACUUGUGCUAAUACCGAAUGUGCCCUUCGGGGGAAAGAUUAAUCGCCUUUAGAGCGGCCCGCGUCUGAUUAGCUAGUUGGUUGAGGUAAUGGCUCACCAAGGCGACGAUCAGUAGCUGGUCUGAGAGGAUGAUCAGCCACAUUGGGACUGAGACACGGCCCAAACUCCUACGGGAGGCAGCAGUGGGGAAUCUUGCGCAAUGGGCGAAAGCCUGACGCAGCCAUGCCGCGUGAAUGAUGAAGGUCUUAGGAUUGUAAAAUUCUUUCACCGGGGACGAUAAUGACGGUACCCGGAGAAGAAGCCCCGGCUAACUUCGUG
rnacentral:rRNA from 1 species